rnacentral:rRNA from 1 species
AGCGGCGGACGGGUGAGUAAUGCCUAGGAAUCUGCCUGGUAGUGGGGGAUAACGUUCGGAAACGGACGCUAAUACCGCAUACGUCCUACGGGAGAAAGCAGGGGACCUUCGGGCCUUGCGCUAUCAGAUGAGCCUAGGUCGGAUUAGCUAGUUGGUGAGGUAAUGGCUCACCAAGGCGACGAUCCGUAACUGGUCUGAGAGGAUGAUCAGUCACACUGGAACUGAGACACGGUCCAGACUCCUACGGGAGGCAGCAGUGGGGAAUAUUGGACAAUGGGCGAAAGCCUGAUCCAGCCAUGCCGCGUGUGUGAAGAAGGUCUUCGGAUUGUAAAGCACUUUAAGUUGGGAGGAAGGGCAGUUACCUAAUACGUGAUUGUUUUGACGUUACCGACAGAAUAAGCACCGGCUAACUCUGUGCCAGCAGCCGCGGUAAUACAGAGGGUGCAAGCGUUAAUCGGAAUUACUGGGCGUAAAGCGCGCGUAGGUGGUUAGUUAAGUUGGAUGUGAAAUCCCCGGGCUCAACCUGGGAACUGCAUUCAAAACUGACUGACUAGAGUAUGGUAGAGGGUGGUGGAAUUUCCUGUGUAGCGGUGAAAUGCGUAGAUAU